GACGAACGCUGGCGGCGUGCUUAACACAUGCAAGUCGAACGGUAAGGCCCUGCUUUUGUGGGGUGCUCGAGUGGCGAACGGGUGAGUAACACGUGAGUAACCUGCCCUUGACUUUGGGAUAACUUCAGGAAACUGGGGCUAAUACCGGAUAGGAGCUCCUGCUGCAUGGUGGGGGUUGGAAAGUUUCGGCGGUUGGGGAUGGACUCGCGGCUUAUCAGCUUGUUGGUGGGGUAGUGGCUUACCAAGGCUUUGACGGGUAGCCGGCCUGAGGGGGUGACCGGCCAAAUUGGGACUGGGAAACGGCCAGAACUCCUACGGGGGGAAGCAGUGGGGAAUAUUGCACAAUGGGCGGAGGCCGAAUGCAGCAACGCCGCGUGCGGGAUGACGGCCUUCGGGUUGUAAACCGCUUUCGCCUGUGACGAAGCGUGAGUGACGGUAAUGGGUAAAGAAGCACCGGCUAACUACGUG
rnacentral:rRNA from 1 species